CCUCAGCCUCCCAAAGUGCUGGAAUUAUAGGCAUAAACCACUAUGACUGGCCGGAGGGGCUCUUUUACACCCAAGACCCAGCACAGAUUCCAGGACAGAGUUUGGUUGCCAUGGGGAUGGGAAAGGAGCAGAAACUCUGAGAAGGCCUCAACCACAGGGCUCAGGCUCACAGCCUCUGCCUAAGACUGAGGCGUUGCCCAGGCUGGAGUGCAAUGGCGCGAUCUCGGCUCGCUGCAACCUCCGCCUCCCUGGUUCAAGAGAUUUUCCUGCCUCAGCUUCCCAAGUAGCUGGGAUUACAGGUGCCUGCCACCAUCCCCGGCUAAUUUUUGUAUUUUUUAAAGUAGAGAUGGGGUUUCAUCAUGCUGGCCAGGCUGGUCUCAAACUCCCGACCUCAGGCAAUCCACCCACCUCAGCCUCCCAAAGU
rnacentral:lncRNA from 1 species